GCUAAUCUGACCAUGGAAUCUUUCAAUAAGCGUACUCUAUCAUGAAAUGUGGCAGCACAGCAGUAUUGAUUUUCACUUCUCUUUGUUUGUGAUUACUCUUUUAAUAAAGGAGGAACUCAAACUGAACCUCUCAUUCCAAUCAAUCAUGUCUUGUAGUUUAAAACGCAUUGUAUGUUUAAAAGGGUAGAUUGAAGGUGGUAUUGGUGAAAAAAGCAGAGGUCUUCCACCAACCUAAACCUUGCAUCAAGUGGGAUCUCUAUAUUUACAGCUAAGUUUCAAAACUUGAGAUAAUUCUCGUGUCAUGGAGUUCGGACAUGUUUGGAUGAGUAACUAAUGGUGUAGCUUUCGGUGGCCUAAUUUUUAGAUCUAAUGGCGUAGCUUUCAGCGACCUAAUGGCGUAGCUUUCGGGCAUGGAUGCAAGCCACAACUUCUGGUAGAGGAAUGAGGUAUGAAUUUUGGUCGAGUUUGAGGUCAAACUCAAUAAAGCAUGAGGCAGUGGAAACAUAAAGCCAUUAGAGAAGGUCCUAUGUUUGCUCUUAUUGCAUUUUGGAAUAGCAUUGGAUUCCUCAAAACUCCUCCACUGUGACUAUGGGGGGAAUGUCUUUCACUUUCACCACAGUGCAAAAUGUCAUAGGCCAUGGAAUUAAUUUGAAAUUGAGGCUGUUAUUUGGUUUACAAUUGUGGAAUCGUCAGCUUAUCUUACUUAGGUGACUAGAAUUAAAAACAUCGUACAUGUGCGGUUUGACAUCUUGGAAUGGAUCUUAUCUUGAUGAGA